CUGGGUGGAGGUGAGGCCCUCCGAGGCCUUCGGGCGCCAGCCGCCCACGUUCCACAGAGUCUGAGCUUUCUCCUCACCUCUUUUUUGGUGCCCAGGUUUCCUGUCCUUGAGGACCCCGGCCUGGCGUUCCUGGUACAGCAACUUGGUGAGGAGCUGUAGAAAUUGAGAAGGGGCUUCACAUUAUGUUCAGGCUCCUCUUUUCCUCUGUUACUUUUGGUGACUUCCUGGUGAAACGUGAAGGAAAGGAGACUGCCAAUGACAGCUGGCUACAGAAUCUAUGCGUGGAGCCUAAGAAGUAAUGCUCGUGUGGGUUAGCGUUUAAUUGCUGCGCAAUCCCAAAUCCGCCCUUUUUGACUGGACCAUUAAAAUGGAUCUGGGCCCUUUUAAGCAUCUCAUGUUUCCCAUUGGCAUCAAUUAAAUAGUGGCAGGCCCAAGACCCUUCGCAGAUCUUGAAACUACUUGCCUACCUAAGGGAAUCUUGACGUUGUUUGCUUAAUCUUCACAUACCUUUGCUUUUCCUUCCAUGAAAAGAAACUGAAAAAGAGGAUAAGUCAAGUAACAGCACACUUCUGAGAAGGUAUUGCUGGCAAGGAAGAGGUCAUCCACAUACUGGAGAAGGGUGCAGUGUGUGGCCUCCCUUGGAAAGCUGGCGAGGUCUCCAGCCAGAGCCUCCUCAGUGAGGGUGGGAAAAGAUCCAGGGCCAUCCGAGCGGGUGCAAAUCUGGAACCAACUGUCCAGGU